ACUCCUACGGGAGGCAGCAGUGGGGAAUAUUGGACAAUGGGGGCAACCCUGAUCCAGCGAUGCCGCGUGAGUGAAGAAGGCCUUCGGGUCGUAAAGCUCUUUAGGUUGGGAAGAAGUUUGGUUGAGGAAAUGCAAUCAAGUUGACGGUACCGACAGAAUAAGCACCGGCAAACUCUGUGCCAGCAGCCGCGGUAAUACAGAGGGUGCGAGCGUUAAUCGGAGUUACUGGGCGUAAAGGGCGCGUAGGCGGUAUUAUGUGUGUGAUGUGAAAGCCCCGGGCUUAACCUGGGAAGUGCAUCGCAAACUGUAAAACUAGAGUAGAUGAGAGGGUGAUGGAAUUUCCGGUGUAGCGGUGAAAUGCGUAGAGAUCGGAAGGAACGUCAAUGGCGAAGGCAGUCACCUGGCAUCAUACUGACGCUGAGGCGCGAAAGCGUGGGGAGCGAACAGGAUUAGAUACCCUGGUAGUCCACGCUGUAAACGAUGACAACUAAAUGUUGGUUGGGGAACCAAUCGGUAUUGAAGCUAACGCGAUAAGUUGUCCGCCUGGGAAGUACGGCCGCAAGGUUGAAACUCAAAUGAAUUGACGGGGGCCCGCACAAGCGGUGGAGCAUGUGGUUUAAUUCGAUGCAACGCGAAGAACCUUACCUACCCUUGACAUCCUGCGAAUCCCGAUGAGAGUUGGGAGUGCCGAAAGGAGCGCAGAGACAGGUGCUGCAUGGCUGUCGUCAGCUCGUGUUGUGAGAUGUUGGGUUAAGUCCCGUAACGAGCGCAACCCUUGUCCUUAGUUACCAGCAAGUAAAGUUGGGGACUCUAAGGAGACUGCCGGUGAUGAACCGGAGGAAGGCGGGGACGACGUCAAGUCAUCAUGGCCUUUAUGGGUAGGGCUACACACGUGCUACAAUGGGGCGUACAGAGGGUAGCCAACCCGCGAGGGGGAGCCAAUCUCUUAAAGCGUCUCGUAGUCCGGAUUGGAGUCUGCAACUCGACUCCAUGAAGUUGGAAUCGCUAGUAA
rnacentral:rRNA from 1 species